rnacentral:rRNA from 1 species
CCCUACGGGGUGCCGCAACGCGUAGAUCAGCAUCGAGGCGUGACCGUUCGACAGGACGAAGCGGUCGCGGUUGGCCCAGCGCGGAUUGGCCGGGUUGUGUCGCAGAUGCUGUCGCCAGAGCACGGUCGCGACCUCGGCGAGCCCCAUCGGCGCGCCGGGAUGUCCGGACUUGGCGGCCUCGACCGCGUCCAUCGCCAGCGCGCGGACCACCGCCGUCAGCGGUUGAUCCAGGCCGGGGCUCAUCUGUGUCGUUGCGGCAGUCAUCGCGUCUUCCCCCAAAAAUUGCUUCCGAUUCAGAUCGCCCUGCGGCGCUUUUCCAUCAACUGCAUGAUCAUCGGCGUCAAGAUCAACUGCAUCGCCAGAUCGAGCUUAUGGCCGGGAAUGACAAUCGAAUUGGCGGGGGGGC